rnacentral:rRNA from 1 species
CCUACGGGUGGCAGCAGUGGGGAAUAUUGCACAAUGGGGGAAACCCUGAUGCAGCGACGCCGCGUGAAGGAAGAAGGAUUUCUGUAUGUAAACUUCUAUCAGCAGGGAAGAAAAUGACGGUACCUGACUAAGAAGCCCCGGCGAACUACGUGCCAGCAGCCGCGGUAAUACGUAGGGGGCAAGCGUUAUCCGGAUUUACUGGGUGUAAAGGGAGCGUAGGCGGUUUAGCAAGUCAGAAGUGAAAGCCCGGGGCUCAACGCCGGGACUGCUUUUGAAACUGUCGAACUAGAGUGCAGGAGAGGUAAGUGGAAUUCCUGGUGUAGCGGUGAAAUGCGUAGAUAUUAGGAGGAACACCAGUGGCGAAGGCGGCUUACGGGACUGUAAAUGACGCUGAGGCUCGAAAGCGUGGGGAGCAAACAGGAUUAGAUACCCCUGUAGUC